AGUGGCAGCGCGUGUCUCCUGUCGCUGUCGCUCGUGACGACGAGGAAUCGGCGUGCAACCUAAAGUAUACACACAUUUAUUUAAUCUCCCCUUGUCGCGUUUCCGGCCGGUGCCCGUGGUCGAAUAGCUCGCUUCCGGUGCGGUGUCUGUAUGUGUGCGCGUCCUUCCCGAUCGCGGUUGAUCGAAGUCGAGGCGAGGUGACGGCUGGUUGUAUCGCGAGUCCGGGUGCGGCGACCAUUAUUUUUGAUCCCGCGGUCGCUCGGUCCGUCGAAGGACGAGGUGUCCCUGAUCAGAAAUCGACCGGGAACUUCGCGAUCGGCUUUUCGGACGCGGGUGAGUGACAGGUGAAACGGCCGCCAAUCGUUCGUCUACGUGCGUGCGUGUGCGUACAGGUUAACCGUCGCGCGACUUUCGUUCACGCAAAGCUAGACCGUGAGAUCAUCGCGAGAUCGUCGAUCGGUAGAUUCGUCGCCGGGCACUUCGUGAUUUUCGUUUAAACACCGCCCUCCCCCCUCUCGGCCGUCUGUUCGCUGCCAUUUUUCAGCCCGCCCGAGUCACAUGCAACCUGUUGUUUUCGCUGCGUCCUUCUCGUGUCAUUGUUGAGAUCGGUUCACCGGGAACGAUAACAAACGGACGGUGCUUCCAGUGCGUGGGAAACGCUGAACAAGCAAAAUUGCGUCGAAAAGCGAGGGAACCAGCGUCAACGUGGGGAUCAGCCGUCAGGAUGAACGGGUACAAGGUAGCUAUGGAUCCUCUAUAGGAAGGGACUGGAAAACCACGAUUUCUAUUGUCGCAGAAGAGAUCUAAACCGGAAACUGCAGAAGGAAUAUAGUGCAUUAGAAAGACACAGUUUUCUUACCAACGUAGGAUUCUAUAUGGGUAGAUGAAUUCCAUAUAAGAAUGCACAUAAAAUGCACUCUUCAAUGUACAUGUAUAAUGUAUAUGUACAAUGCAUACGAGGAUGAAUAUGUAUAAAGAGAGGAGUGUACUCUGGAAUUAAAUGGAUAGGGACGGUGGUUGUUGAACUGUUUUGAUAGGAGCCCGUGUCUUUCGGGUGGCCCGUCUCUGCGAUGUUACUCUGGAAUCGUGGGAGGUGAUGAAUGGGUGACGACCAACGAAUACCCGAACCGUGUUCCUGGAUGAAUUUUCCCCGGUAGCGAAAACUAAUUCGAGCGUGUCGCAAAAUAGAGAGGCGUGGAACCCUCGCUUGUUUUUACAGUGGCCAACUAAUUCUAAUUCGCGUUACCGACAAAUUGUUCUGUCGUGUACGUUUAUAAUUCAAUUUGUAAACCGCUUAUAAUUUAUGCCUCCAUGCGUCCGUUACGUCAGACGGUUUCAUGAAGAUUAUUACUCCAGGUACAGCGAAAUUAUUCUUCUGCAUGAUAAUGCUCGUCCUUAUGU